rnacentral:tRNA from 1 species
GGGAGUGUCGUAUAAUGGUAGUACAACGGUCUCCAAAACCGUUUGCGUAGGUUCGAUUCCUACCACUCCUG